AGAGUUUGAUCCUGGCUCAGGAUGAACGCUAGCUACAGGCUUAACACAUGCAAGUCGAGGGGCAGCAUGGGGCAGCAAUGUCCCGAUGGCGACCGGCGAAUGGGUGAGUAACACGUAUCCAACCUGCCCCGUGCUCAGGGAUAGCCCUUAGAAAUGAGGAUUAAUACCUGAUGCAGUGCGCUGACCGCAUGGGAUGUUCACUAAAGAUUCAUCGGCACGGGAUGGGGAUGCGUCUGAUUAGCUUGUUGGCGGGGUAACGGCCCACCAAGGCUUCGAUCAGUAGGGGUUCUGAGAGGAAGGUCCCCCACAUUGGUACUGAGACACGGACCAAACUCCUACGGGAGGCAGCAGUGAGGAAUAUUGGUCAAUGGGCGAGAGCCUGAACCAGCCAAGUAGCGUGAAGGAUGACGGCCCUAUGGGUUGUAAACUUCUUUUUCCGGGGGAUAAAGUGACCCACGUGUGGGUUAUUGCAGGUACCCGGUGAAUAAGGACCGGCUAAUUCCGUGCCAGCAGCCGCGGUAAUACGGAAGGUCCGAGCGUUAUCCGGAUUUAUUGGGUUUAAAGGGAGCGUAGGUGGAAAUGUAAGUCAGCCGUCAAAUCGCGGAGCUCAACUCCGUCCAGCGGUUGAAACUGCGUUUCUUGAGUGCGCAAGAGGCAGGUGGAAUUCGAGGUGUAGCGGUGAAAUGCUUAGAUAUCUCGAAGAACUCCGAUUGCGAAGGCAGCUUGCUGGGGCGCAACUGACGCUGAGGCUCGAAGGUGCGGGUAUCAAACAGGAUUAGAUACCCUGGUAGUCCGCACAGUAAACUAUGGAUGCUCG
rnacentral:rRNA from 1 species